GCAUAUCAAUAAGCGGAGGAAAAGAAACCAACCGGGAUUGCCUUAGUAACGGCGAGUGAAGCGGCAAAAGCUCAAAUUUGAAAUCUGGCGUCUUCGACGUCCGAGUUGUAAUUUGAAGAAGGCGACUUUGUAGCUGGUCCUUGUCUAUGUUCCUUGGAACAGGACGUCAUAGAGGGUGAGAAUCCCGUGUGGCGAGGAUCCCAGUUAUUUGUAAAGUGCUUUCGACGAGUCGAGUUGUUUGGGAAUGCAGCUCUAAGUGGGUGGUAAAUUCCAUCUAAAGCUAAAUAUUGGCGAGAGACCGAUAGCGAACAAGUACAGUGAUGGAAAGAUGAAAAGAACUUUGAAAAGAGAGUGAAAAAGUACGUGAAAUUGUUGAAGGGGAAGGGCAUUUGAUCAGACAUGGCGUUUGCUUCGGCUUUCGCUGGGCCAGCAUCAGUUUUAGCGGUUGGAUAAAUCCUCGGGAAUGUGGCUCUGCUUCGGUAGAGUGUUAUAGCCCGUGGGAAUACAGCCAGCUGGGACUGAGGAUUGCGACUUUUGUCAAGGAUGCUGGCGUAAUGGUUAAAUGCCGCCCGUCUUGAAACACGGACC
rnacentral:rRNA from 1 species